rnacentral:rRNA from 1 species
CCUACGGGGUGCUGCAGUGGGGGAUAUUGCACAAUGGGGGAAACCCUGAUGCAGCGACGCCGCGUGUGGGAAGACGGUCCUCUGGAUUGUAAACCACUGUCCCCAGGUACGAAGAUGACGGUACCUGGGGAGGAAGCUCCGGCUAACUACGUGCCAGCAGCCGCGGUAAUACGUAGGGAGCAAGCGUUGUCCGGAAUUACUUGGUGUAAAGGGAGCGUAGGCGGGAUGGCAAGUUGGGUGUUAAAUCUACCGGCUCAACUGGUAGUCGCACUCAAACCUGCUAUUCUUGAGUGAAGUAGAGGCAGGCGGAAUUCCUAGUGUAGCGGUGAAAGGCGUAGAUAUUAGGAGGAACACCAGUGGCGAAGGCGGCCUGCUGGGCUUUUACUGACGCUGAGGCUCGAAAGUGUGGGGAGCAAACAGGAUUAGAUACCCGAGUAGUC